UAUUGAAUAUUUAAAUAGUAUAGCCGCGCGGCUAUACUUUAUAAAUAUAUUUAAAUAUUUUAAUAGUAUAGCCGCCCGGCUAUACUAUUUAAAAUUCAGAAG
rnacentral:miRNA from 1 species